AGGGGAUGUUUAGAUAGGGAAAUGAAGAACUCAGAAAAGAGGCAGAUCCAACCCCAUUGUUUUUCAAUAACCUGAAGAAAAAGUUCUGCAAACAAGGCAGAAGGUGCAGCUCUGAGACAGCACGGUGCUGUGGAAAGACCAUGGUUUUGGGGCCCAAGAGACGGGGGUUCAGCUCCAGGUGUUCUGGGUAAUCAUCAGCAAGUGACUUAGCUUCUUUCAGCCCCAGUUGCUUCAUUUGCUUAUAAACAAGACAUACGAGUAAUGUGCAUAAAGAAUUUGGCACAAAGCAGGCCCUAAAUAAAUGUUAAGAACUGCCGAGCUAGAGACUAUAUUUCCUAGCUUCCCUUGUAGCUAGGUGUGUCCACGUGGUUAAAAGUUCUGAAUGUGAGGGGAAAUGAUUUGUGCAAUCACUGCCUCCCUUGCUGAAAAAAGUUAUUCACCUUAAACUUCCCCUGUUUCUUAUUCCUGUGGGAUAGAAACAGAUUUGGAGGUAACCCCACAUUGACCAUGCAGAUAAAGACAAUGAUGGUGCAGCAACAUCAGGAUGGAAGGGGUUGGGGCUGAUGAACGGUCCUGUGGUCAGAGCUGUCCCACCAGCUGAGAUUAGGUGGACUGUUAUGUCAGAGAGGCCUACACUAUCGUAUUAUUAGAAACAAGCUGCAAUUUGGGGUUAGUUUUUACCCUAAGUAAUACAGGAGGAUUUUAGACAUUUUUUGUUGGGAUAGUCACUGGUUUCCAGGUAGCUUCAGAAAACAGGCAUGGAGGACGUCCAGAACAAGAAAUCUGAGGCACAAACUACUGGGAGACGCAGGUGCUGAGCUCUGCCUCUUCCUGAAGAUCCUCUGUCUUGGCCUUCAAGCUUUCAUGAUUACCACACCCUCCCCAGCCUUCUCAGAAAAAUCUUACAAGGCAGGAAGUUAUUACUUUGAGGACGUGAGUUGGGAAUCCUCAUUCACACACAUCUAUUCAAGAAUCAUCAGUGGAGGCAGCCAUUCAUCAGGCCAUCCCACCUGGAAUAUGGGGUUUCAACAGGGAAAUAGUGGCUACUCCUCUCAAAAAAUGGAAAGCAAAUGCAUAGAAAAUGAGAAUGCCUCUCAUAUCCUGCCUGCUCCUCAGAAGUCAGAUGCUGAACAUUUUGUGAUGUUAACUAAGAGACAGAAGAAUAAGAGAACAAAUGGCAACUCUUCUUGGUGACUCCUGGACAGCGUAGAACAUCUCAGUGGUCCUUUAUGCUGCUUAGUUGGAUAACUCACUUUCUACACAUUUCUAUGUUGAUAACUCUUACAUUUAUAUUUUCAUCCUGACUGCUUACCAGAGUUUUAGUCCCAUUGUGGGACUUUGUAAAGCCCAUUGGUAUUCGUAUGUCCCAGUGUCACAUGGAGCUCAACAGACGUAGAAUUAAACUCAGUUUGGUUCCCAGUGUCUCCUGUUUGUGGUGUUUACUUCCCUCCAAAUCAAAGGCUUUGCCCAUGUCUUUCCCAGAUCUGGGUGCCUCUCUUUCUGCUGGGCUCAGGUCUCCUGUUAUUAACAGUUUCACCAUUGUCGAAGUUCUCCAGGUUCAAAGCCCUGAAGGCGUUUCUAACAGAUUGCUCUCCUUCAUGCUUCGUAAUGAGUAAGUUCUUGAAAUUUUUCCUUUAGACUGAGAGCUGUUGAUGUUAUUUCCUUUCUAUCUCAUAGUCAUCAGACAACCGCAGACACUUGUCAAGUCUUGCCUGAACUAAUGCAGCAGCUUUCUAGCAGCGUUCCUGGCCACCUCUUCCCUUUCUCAAAUUCUGCUGCUAAACGAAUACUUAUAAGACAUCUACUCCCCUGCUGAGAAGCCUGUGAAGGCUCCUGAUCUCCCAACAUUGUGCCUAAGCUCUGCUGGCUGUGUCUCCCUCGUCUUUACCAUGACUCCAGCGUCUCCUUGCUCCUUAGUCUAGCCUGUCUUUGCAUUCUCCUUGAUUGUACUUCUCAACUUCCCACUGUGGCCCUUUCUCUCCUAUUCACCUCCCCAAAUCCUAACCACUUUUCAGCCUCUUCCCUGCAAGAUUCUUUUGCUUGUUUUCAUCCACUUCGAAUUCCCUUUCCUUUGAACUCCUAAAUCACGUCUUAUCUUUAGAUUGGAUGAUCAUCUUGGCAGCUUUGGUAGAACAGAAAGAACUUUGGAUUGGAGUCAGAUAAACUUGGCUCCUGAACAGGUCUCAAUAAUGCACUCUAGACCUGGAGCCAGUCAUUUUUACCUCUCUGAGUCUUGCUUUUUUUAAAUAAAAUGGAGAUAUUAAUACAUGAGAUGGACAGUGACAACAAAUGUGAAAGUACUGGCAUGCAAUCAGAUCUUCGAUGUUAGUUGAAUUUGAUUCUUUAAAAUUAUUUUUAAACACUUUAUAUCUGUUUGUCUGUCUUCUUCGUUUGGCUCCUGGAGAGCAAGUACUGUGUUUUACAUCCCUUUCUCCCACAAAAGACCUGGGCAUUGUUAUGUAAAAAUUUGCUGCCAAA
rnacentral:lncRNA from 1 species